UAUUUCCUUGAUGACACUUUU
rnacentral:misc_RNA from 1 species